GACGAACGCUGGCGGCGUGCCUAAUACAUGCAAGUUGAGCGCUGAAGGUUGGUACUUGUACCAACUGGAUGAGCAGCGAACGGGUGAGUAACGCGUGGGGAAUCUGCCUUUGAGCGGGGGACAACAUUUGGAAACGAAUGCUAAUACCGCAUAAAAACUUUAAACACAAGUUUUAAGUUUGAAAGAUGCAAUUGCAUCACUCAAAGAUGAUCCCGCGUUGUAUUAGCUAGUUGGUGAGGUAAAGGCUCACCAAGGCGAUGAUACAUAGCCGACCUGAGAGGGGGACCGGCAAAAUUGGGAUUGAGAAACGGCCCAACUCCUACGGGAGGCAGCAGUAGGGAAUCUUCGGCAAUGGACGAAAGUCUGACCGAGCAACGCCGCGUGAGUGAAGAAGGUUUUCGGAUCGUAAAACUCUGUUGGUAGAGAAGAACGUUGGUGAGAGUGGAAAGCUCAUCAAGUGACGGUAACUACCCAGAAAGGGACGGCUAACUACGUG
rnacentral:rRNA from 1 species